UUUUGCAUGGUUCUCUAAUCAGGAAAAGAAACCGACAAGCGAUAGCCCCAGUAACGUCGAGUGAAGCGGCAAAUGUUCAAUUUGGAUAUCGCGCCCGGGAGUUGUAAUUUGAAGGCUAGGGGAUCUGGCCCAGACCUGCGCAAGUCCAUUGGAACAUGGCGCCCAAGAGGGUGAGAGCCCUGUCGCGCAGGCCGCAGCCUUGACAUACUCCCGUCAAAGAGUCGAGUUGUUUGGGAAUGCAGCUCAAAGUGGGUGGUAAAUUCCAUCUAAAGCUAAAUAUUGGCGAGAGACACGAUAGCGAACAAGUACAGUGAUGGAAAGAUGAAAAGCACUUUGAAAAGAGAGUGAAUCAGUACGUGAAAUUGUUGAAAGGGAAGGGCUUGCAAGCAGACAUGAGUUCGCUCGGGCCAGCAUCAAUUUCGCGAGGUGGACAACACGCCAGGAAUGUGGCAGGCUCCUGGCACUGUGUUAUAGCCUGCGCGCCAUACACCUCCGCGAGAUUGAGGCCUGCUCCAAAUAGGAUGCUGCGUAAUGACGGUUUU
rnacentral:rRNA from 1 species